CCCACACAUACCGGCGGCAUUUAUUCUCAUUAGAGGAACCUGUUAUUUAAUCGAUAAUCCACGAUAAUUUUCACUUUUUUAUAAAAUUUAUAUACCGCCAUCUAAAGAAUUAAUUUCAUAAUAUUAUUCAAAAAAAAAAUUAAAAAGUUAGGUCAAGGUGUAAUCUACACUAAAGAAAAAAAUGGGUUACAUUAAACAUAAUUUAAGGAAGUUGAAUUUUAAACUUCAACAAAAAAAGGAUUUA
rnacentral:rRNA from 1 species